AUUAAAGGAUGACAGUGCUCUAUCAGUGCUCUUGAAAAAGCAGACCCCUGUCACUCUUGCCAGCAUGGGCACACUGCCUGCGGGAGCUCUGGCUUUGCAUCUCAGGCAUGGUCACAGCCAUAUCACCACAGGGACAGCAGGGCCAGGACUGCUGACUCAGGGCAUGCUUCGGCUCCCACAGCUGCACAGAGAGGUUAGGCUGGCUUGUUCCAUGUAUCACAUCUGUUCGGGAACCUGGCACCUUGCACUGCCCCUGUGCAGUGAGAAAUAGGAAUAUACUGUAUAAAAAGAGCCACACAGCAUGGACACAGAAAAGGAAUCCAGGCCUGGGGAUAACUCCAAUGUCAAAGAGAAGAGUUAUUUUCUACCAGAGGAGCAAUAGCAAGCCUUUGCAGAAGGCAACAGGAAGGGGCAGAGUCUACGUGAGGGGAACCAGGUCACAGUUUGCAUUUUCCUGUUAGAGAAAUCUAAUAUGACCUCUAGAAAGACACAUAGCAGAUCUUUCUCUUUCUCCAGCAGGUUAUUAUUCUCACAACCAGCUUCACAAGCAGAAGCCUAAACUGCAGUAGUAUGACCCAAGCCUUUUUAAAAAUAACCUACCAAGGUCUUUUCUAUUUGAUUACAACACCAUAGAAAUUUCAAGAUGCACAUUGUUGGGAUUACAGUGUCAAGAAGCUACCACAGUCAGCUAAUACCAUUACUGUAGACAGCUGUAUUUGAAAGAAAAAUACCAGCAACCUGUUUCAAACAACGAUGACUUGGAGAAGCCUGAGAAAUCCUAUAAGAACAUGAUGCAGAAUGCUGCAGAUAUCACCAUCAUAAUUUUUUAAUUAAAUUAGGAGUAGCUGGAAUUUUAUUUAAAACACAUAACCAUUUUCCAUUAUGUACCCUGAUGAUGUGGAAUUAUAGUUAUGUACGUAUAAAAGAUUUUUCAGUGAGCAAUAAGAACCAGGAUUUUGCUAGUGAACUUCUGAACUUCUAUUAUUGUGUUGGUAAAGGCAGAGAGGCAAUGUCAGGAGGGGUAGACACUGACAGUGUAAAUUCUUUCUUUGUGAGGCCUUUUGAGGACAAAACAGUCAUGAGAAAUCUACCCCGUGUCUUCCCAAGCAAUUUGUGCUCUAAAGCCAACCAGGAAACAGUCCCAGCCAGUAUUCAGGCAGAUGCCAAGAACAACUAUACUCAGUUAAAGAAAAUAUGUUAACAGUGCUUUAAUCUUCAAUAGAUGUAAUCAAUACGUAGGCAAGCCAACAAAAAUAUGGCUGGAGAUGCCACUGGAAAAGAUCAAGGAAGUACUGAGCUAUUAUAAUCUACCCUAUAUGUAAUAUCUUGUACUGUGGUAAAGUUAUUUUGUUUGUCUGUAAUUCAAGACAAUUACUGUGUCACCAGUAUGUUUGGAUUUGAAUAAGACUGAGAUAG
ensembl:lncRNA